UCAAUCCUCAUAUUAAGUUCUGAUUGAGUAAAAAGAGAUUCAAGCCUGUUUUUCAUUUUGAGCAGAUUAAGUUAGAUCUAUUAGCUGAUUCAAAAUAUUUGCAAGACAUGGGCAUUAAGAUAGAUUAUGUUAAAGUUACUUCCUCUUAAUUGAAGGAUCAGCCUAAUUUUAUAAAAAUUUCUUUCAAGACAGACAUUUAAUCGUGGAAGCCUUGUGAGGUGUAUAGGAAGAUAUGAUUAGGAUGUAUUUGUAAAAUACUAGGUUAAAAGAUUUGGGAUCAGAUUAUCCAGAUAAAAAGGAUCUGGUGCUGAGACAUAGGUCAGUUCCUUUUGGCAUCAACAUUCCUCUGUGUGUUAUGAUUGUUAUUAGCUAAAAUUCCUGUUUUCCUGACACUGUGUGUCAUUCUUGGGUUAUACCAUACUCUGCUCUUAAAGGAUAUGCUGGAAGUGCUCAGUGUCUUGUUUCCCUGGGUCCUCUCUGACCUAGAUGUCAGAAAGCCCUUAGGAGACAUGGGAGCUUGCAGACAGACGUUUGACCUUGGAGUCAUCCACCUGAGAUGGGAAACAAAGAGAAAAAUAAAUUAGGAGCACAUUGUGGAGAAAUAUUCCUGUUCAUAGAGAUGUGUUCCAGCAAAAUGCUGCAGAUACAAAUGUGUGCAGCUGUCCUAACUGCCUUUAUUUUUUUGACUUACAUUCAUGUCCUGUAACAAAAACCAGAGCAGCAUUGUGUGUCCCUGGCGUUUGAGAGAGGUCUGUGCACUCAAUCCUCCAGCACUGCCUAGUGGUGGGUGAUUAUUUCCAGCACUUGAUGGCAAAGGAUCAGAGGAUCACAGAAGAUGCUGAUUUGACCCAUCAGGAUCAUUGAGUCCAGCUGCUGGCCCUGCACAGGACACCCUAAAUAUCACUCCAGUUGUCCCUGUGCUUCCUGUCUUUCUACAAAGCCAACACCAGGAGUUCCAAAACAGAAAACCACAGGAAAAGCUGCUCUGGUAAUGUUUGUCUUGAACGGAAACAAAUAGCAAUAGAGAUUUCCUGCAAAAUAAUUUUCAUGUGACAAAUGUAGCCUGGAUUCUAGACCAAA